rnacentral:rRNA from 1 species
GACGAACGCUGGCGGCGUGCUUAACACAUGCAAGUCGAACGGAAAGACCCUGCUUUUUGGGGGUGCUCGAGUGGCGAACGGGUGAGUAACACGUGAGUAACCUGCCCUUUACUUUGGGAUAACUUCAGGAAACUGGGGCUACUACCGGCUCGGAGCUCCUGCUGCCUGGUGGGGGUUGGAAAGUUUCGGCGGUUGGGGAUGGACUCGCGGCUUAUCAGCGUGUUGGUGGGGUAGUGGCUUACCAAGGCUUUGACGGGUAGCCGGCCUGAGAGGGUGACCGGCCACAUUGGGACUGAGGGACGGACCAGACUGCUACGGGAGGCAGCAGUGGGGAGUAUUGCGCAAUGAGCGGAAGCCUGAUGCAGCAGCGCCGCGUGUGGGAUGACGGCUUUGGGGUUGUAAAGCGCUUUCGCCUGUGACGAAGAGUGAGUGGCGGUAAAGGGUAAAGAAGCACCGGCUAACUACGUG